rnacentral:other from 1 species
CACCUCCUGCUGUGUACGUUACGACCAUUCGUUGUUUUGAACCAAUGACAUUGUCUAGGGAGAUCUACAUGGGAAGCGGCUGAAAAGCCCUGUCACUUUUGACAUGGGGACUUCAAAUGCUAUUCCUGCGAUCACCCACCUGCUGAAGCAGGUUCAGAAGACACUAUGGUCGGACGGCAUCGGCGGGUACAAU